GUUUCUCCAGUUCUGUGGGUCUGACUCUGCCUCUCUCUUUUCGAGCCAGAACCACCAGAAAACCCACACUGUAUAGCAAACCCUAAUUCUUUGGUCUCAGAUCGGCCAUGGCUUCCACUAAAGAACGCGAGAACUUCGUUUACAUCGCUAAGCUCGCCGAGCAGGCCGAGCGUUAUGAUGAAAUGGUGGAUGCAAUGAAGAAUGUUGCAAAGCUUGAUGUCGAAUUGACAGUUGAGGAAAGAAACUUACUUUCUGUUGGGUACAAGAAUGUGGUUGGUGCACGGAGAGCCUCAUGGAGAAUCUUAUCAUCAAUAGAGCAGAAAGAAGAAGCGAAAGGAAAUGAAACAAAUGCUAAACGCAUCAAAGAAUACAGACAAAAGGUUGAAUCAGAGCUCUCUGGUAUUUGCAAUGAUAUCAUGACAGUGAUUGACGAGCACCUAAUUCCGUCGGCUUCAGCUGGGGAAUCAACAGUAUUCUACUAUAAGAUGAAAGGAGACUAU
rnacentral:misc_RNA from 1 species